rnacentral:rRNA from 1 species
CUUAUAAACCUUCCUGGAGGAGCUUGCUAUUAAACCGAUAAUCCACGUAACACCUCACCAACUUUAGAACACUCAGCCUGUAUACCAUCGUCGUCAGUCUACUCCUCAAGGAUAGUAUACCAAAGGGGCACACGCCCACUACGUCAGAUCGAGGUGCAGCUUAUAAGUUGGGAAUCAGUGAGCUACAAUAUUUUUACAAUAAAAAUAACAUUAUGGAAAGACAAAUUAAUACUUUGUCUCAAAACAGGAUUCAGAAGUAAUGAUCAAAAGAAAAUAAUCAUGAACAACAAGCUCUAUAAUUCGC